rnacentral:rRNA from 1 species
GACGAACGCUGGCGGCGUGCUUAACACAUGCAAGUCGAACGGUAAGGCCCUUCGGGGUACACGAGUGGCGAACGGGUGAGUAACACGUGGGUGAUCUGCCCUGCACUUCGGGAUAAGCCUGGGAAACUGGGUCUAAUACCGGAUAGGACCACUGCCUGCAUGGGUGGUGGUGGAAAGCUUUUGCGGUGUGGGAUGGGCCCGCGGCCUAUCAGCUUGUUGGUGGGGUGAUGGCCUACCAAGGCGGCGACGGGUAGCCGGCCUGGGAGGGUGACCGGCCACACUGGGACUGAGAUACGGCGCACGAUCCUACGGGAGGCAGCAGUGGGGAAUAUUGCACAAUGGUCGCAAGCCUGAUGCAGCGACGCCGCGUGAGGGAUGACGGCCUUCGGGUUGUAAACCUCUUUCAGCACCGGCGAAGCGCAAGUGACGGUAGGUGCAGAAGAAGGACCGGCCAACUACGUGCCAGCCGCCGCUGUAA